rnacentral:tRNA from 1 species
AAGGCUUUAAGUUAAACUAAACUAAUAGCCUUCAAAGCUAUAAAUGAAAUUGAUUGUUUUAAGCCUUA